UAGAAUUACACGGUGAUAUUAAGUGAGAUAAUGUGAUUAAAU
rnacentral:guide_RNA from 1 species